rnacentral:rRNA from 1 species
AGUAACACAUGAUCAACUUACCCUAUUGAGAAAGAUAACCUCGGGAAACUGAGGAUAAUAUUUCAUAGUUGAAUUGGCUUGGAAAAGUUUUUCAACAAAAGGGAUAGGGAAAAUGGUCUCUAUCCGCUAUAGGAUAGGAUCGUGUUCGAUUAUGGUAGUUGGUGAGGUAAAGGCUCACCAAGCCGAUAAUCGAUAGGGGCCGUGAGAGCGGGAGCCCCGAGAUGGGUACUGAGACAACGACCCAGGCCUUACGAGGCGCAGCAGGUACGAAACCUCCACAAUACACGAAAGUGUGAUGGGGUUACCCAAAGUGUUCAUUAUUGAACUGUGGUAGGAGAGUAAUGUCCCCUACUAGAAAGGAGAGGGCAAGGCUGGUGCCAGCCGCCGCGGUAAAACCAGCUCUUCAAGUGGUCGGGAUAAUUAUUGGGCUUAAAGUGUCCGUAGCCGGUUUAGUAAGUUCCUGGUAAAAUCGGGUAGCUUAACUAUCUGUAUGCUAGGAAUACUACUAUACUAGAGGGCGGGAGAGGUCUGAGGUACUACAGGGGUAGGGGUGAAAUCUU